CCCGGCGCUCCGCGCUGCUCCGGCUGUGGCUGGGGGCGAGGGCAUCCUCAGGGCCGGGACUCCGGCCGUCCCGGCCGCCUACCGCCGUGGCCCCGCGGCUCUCCGGCCCGAAUGAAUAUGUCCAGUGACUGACAAACAAAUGGGUAUGAUCUGAAAAACCUGAAACAUAUUGUGCCUUGAAGUAAUCUUAAGUGAUUCAGCUCCAGCCAAGCCUUGGCCUUUCUGACCCCAUCCCUACACAACCAGGCAGCAUUCCUAUUGCUGUAUUUUAAUAAAAUCUGGGACAAUAGUAGAAUACUUUAUCUUGAAACUUUUGGACCACUAGUUCAAAUAUACCAGGACUUUACUUGAAAAGAAAAAAGAGACUGA
ensembl:lncRNA